GACGAACGCUGGCGACGUGCCUAACACAUGCAAGUCAACUUGACUGAAGGAGCAAUCUGACAGUAGAGUGGCGCAAGGGUGCGUAACGCGUAAGUAACUUGCCCAAGGUAAGGAAUAACGUCGAGAAAUCGGCGCUAAUACCUCAUAAUGCAGCGGAUCCGCAUGGAUAUGUUGUUAAAGGUUUACCGCCUUGGGAUAGGCUUGCGUCUGAUUAGCUAGUUGGUGUGGUAACGGCACACCAAGGCUACGAUCAGUAACUGGUCUGAGAGGAUGAUCAGUCACACUGGAACUGAGACACGGUCCAGACUCCUACGGGAGGCAGCAGUGAGGAAUAUUGGGCAAUGCUCGAAAGAGUGACCCAGCAACGCCGCGUGGAGGAUGAAGGUAUUCUAUAUCGUAAACUCCUGUGAGAGCAGACGAAGACAGAUUAUUAAUCUGGAUGACUGUAUGCUCAGAGGAAGCCCCGGCUAACUACG
rnacentral:rRNA from 1 species